rnacentral:rRNA from 1 species
GAUGAACGCUAGCUACAGGCUUAACACAUGCAAGUCGAGGGGUAACGAGAGGAAAGCUUGCUUUCCUUGUCGACGACCGGCGCACGGGUGAGUAACGCGUAUCCAACCUGCCCCCAACUAGGGAAUAACCUUGCGAAAGUAAGACUAAUACCCUAUAAUUUCCUCAGAUGUCAUCUGACGAGGAAUAAAGAUUUAUCGGUUGUGGAUGGGGAUGCGUCGGAUUAGCUUGUUGGCGGGGUAACGGCCCACCAAGGCAACGAUCAGUAGGGGUUCUGAGGGGAAGGACCCCCACUAUGAAACUGAGACACGGUCCAAACUCCUACGGGAGGCAGCAGUGAGGAAUAUUGGUCAAUGGGCGGAAGCCUGAACCAGCCAAGUAGCGUGCAGGAUGACGGCCCUAUGGGUUGUAAACUGCUUUUAUACAGGAAUAAAGUUAGCCACGUGUGGUUAUUUGUAGGUACUGUAUGAAUAAGGACCGGCUAAUUCCGUGCCAGCCGCCGCCGUAA